rnacentral:rRNA from 1 species
AACGAACGCUGGCGGCGUGCUUAACACAUGCAAGUCGAACGGAAAGGCCGUGCUUUUUUGGGGUGCUCGAGGGGCGAACGGGUGAGUAACACGUGAGUAACCUGCCCUAGACUUUGGGAUAACUUCAGGAAACUGGGGCUAAUACCGGAUAGGAGCUGCUGCUGCAUGGUGGGGGUUGGAAAGUUUCGGCGGUUGGGGCUGGACGCGCGGCUUAUGAGCUUGUUGGUGGGGGAGUGGCUUACCAAGGAUUUGACGGGUAGGCGGCCCGAGAGGGUGACCGGCCACAAUGGGACUGAGAGACGGACCAGUCUCCUACGGUAGACAACGGGCGCAAAUCUGACCCAAUGGGCCCAAGCGUGAUGCAGAAGCGCCGCGUGCGGGAUGACGGCCUUCGGGUUGUAAACCGCUUUCGCCUGUGACGAAGCGUGAGUGACGGUAAUGAAUAAAGAAGCACCGGCUAACUACGUG